GACGUGCGACUGGCGGAUAAGUGGGAAACUACAGGGGAGCACGUAAGAAGAUUGAGCCGACCGCCUGGGCAUG
rnacentral:ncRNA from 1 species